rnacentral:lncRNA from 1 species
AAUAUCGAUCUUCUUAAGCAAUGGUAAGACUACACCUUUUUUGUGAGUACAUUUAAAUUUAACAUGUGUCCCCCACGAUACCCCGUCGUUACAUGUGUAGCCGAUUCCAACAGAGCCUAUGAAUGUGUGUGUGCAUGUGACACCAGAGCUUGUCGCUGAUCCUACGGAUGUUGAGACAGAGCCCUAUGAAGAGGAUGAUUCAUUGCGGAUAAUCACAAAAAUUCUGGGCAAAACGCAGCUGAUGCACUACCUUCAGCCACCCGAUAUAAUUAUCUAUGUUGAUACACUUUGUGACUGCAGCAAUGAAUGCAACUGCUAGUUGUGGGACAGCAACGUGGAUGAUUUGACAUCGCAUGAGCUACAGACUGUCAUGCAUAUAGCGUUGCAACAUAAUGUGCCAGUCACUAUGAAAAAAGGCAGAAUGGACUUAAGCAUAACGAAAUUCUCCCCCAAAGUUAUAUCCAUAUUAAAUGAGGCUCUCCUUCAAUGCAGACGCAACGAUUCCGAAUUGCUGCAACUUAUGACCGAACUGUUGUAGGUUCUGCAGUUUUCGAAAAUUAAUAAAAUGUCCGCCCCAGUAGUAUCUCAAAUCUUUUCUUGAUUGUGUUCAAGUCCAUGGGGUUUGCGAUUUUUUCGUGGUAGUCCCUGAUCUUCAGCUUCACGGUAUCGACAGGUUGGCGAAAGUGCAGCGAGGAAGGUUCUCAGUUUUAACAGGAAAUUGGUGACCCUUCCCUUACGAUUGGGUGGCGGCAUCACCGGGGGCUGCACAAUGCCAUUUACCGACUGCAUUCUGGGCUCACACCGUGGCGGCCGCUGCUCCCUUGGGACCUGGUUUUCGAGCACGCAUAAAGCUUUCUCAAAG